CAAUAUCCAGUUUCCCCUAGGACAAUUGGAGGCAGUGGAGGCAUUUGAAAUGUUUUUAAAGGAACCGUCAAAUGGCCCAGCUCGACAGAGCGUGGUGCUGUGAGGAAAAACACAGUGACACGGUCAGCCACGGACGCAGAGGUCACCAAGCACGCAAUCAGGUGGUUCAACCUGGCAGCGGAUCGGGCAACGAGGAGACGUGUCCCGCCUCAAGCCACACAAACGGAGUAAUAGGAGAAAUAAGCAAUAAACAAUAUUUUUAUUGAA